GAUGAACGCUAGCGGCAGGCCUAAUACAUGCAAGUCGAACGGUGUAGCAAUACACAGUGGCGCACGGGUGCGUAACACGUAUGCAACCUACCUUACAUUGGGGGAUAGCCUUUCGAAAGGGAGAUUAAUACCGCAUAAGACAGUAACUGGGCAUCCAGUAGCUGUUAAAGAUUUAUCGAUGUAAGCUGGGCAUGCGUCCAAUUAGUUAGUUGGCGAGGUAAUGGCUCACCAAGACGAUGAUUGGUAGGGGAACUGAGAGGUCAAUCCCCCACACUGGCACUGAGAUACGGGCCAGACUCCUACGGGAGGCAGCAGUAGGGAAUAUUGGGCAAUGGGCGCAAGCCUGACCCAGCCAUGCCGCGUGCAGGAAGAAGGCGUUAUGCGUUGUAGACUGCUUUUAUACAGGAAGAAACGACCCUUGCGAGGGGCAUUGACGGUACUGUAUGAAUAAGCACCGGCUAACUCCGUGCCAGCAGCCGCAGUAACAC
rnacentral:rRNA from 1 species